rnacentral:rRNA from 1 species
UACGGAAGGCAGCAGUGGGGAAUAUUGCACAAUGGGCGAAAGCCUGAUGCAGCUAUGCCGCGUGUAUGAAGAAGGCCUUAGGGUUGUAAAGUACUUUCAUCGGGGAGGAAAAAACAAACUAAUAAUUUUAUUUCUUGACGUUACCCGAAAAAGAAGCACCGGCUAACUCCGUGCCAGCAGCCGCGGUAAUACGGAGGGUGCUAGCGUUAAUCAGAAUUACUGGGCGUAAAGAGCACGUAGGUGGCUUUUUUAAGUCAGAUGUGAGAUCCCUGGGCUUAACCUAGGAACUGCAUUUUGAAACUGAAAUACUAGAGUAUCGUAGAGGGAGGUAGAAUUCUAGGUGUAGCGGUGAAAUGCGUAGAUAUCUGGAGGAAUACCUGUGGCGAAAGCGGCCUCCUAAACGAAUACUGACACUGAGGUGCGAAAGCGUGGGGAGCAAACAGGGAUAGAUACC